rnacentral:rRNA from 1 species
CGAGGAUGUGGGGGACGAGGUCAAGUCGUCAUGGCCCGUAUAGGCUGGGCUACCCAUGUGUUACAAUGGGGGUGACAAAGAGUGACAAGGCGGCAACGCGGAGUCAAUCUCGUAAACGCCCUCUUAGUGCGAAUAGAAGGCUGCAACUCGCCCUUCUUGAAGUCGGAAUCGUUAGUAAUCGUGGAUCAGCACGCCACGGUGAAUGGUUUGGGGCCUUGUACACACCGCCCGUCACGUCAGGGGAGUGGGAUUGGCUAGAAGG